AACUAUGAGGGCAAAGUGGCUGCGACAUCUGUCACUCCACUAACCACCAGGGUUCAUUCAACUGGGUAACUGAGCCAGAGUGAAUUGGCUGGCCAGGCAGUCAUUCCAGUCUUCCCUCCCUGCUCCAGGUGCUAUCCUUCCCAACAUUCCCUGAUAGAGGAGAACUUUUUUUGGUCAAGAGUAUAGGGGCAGCUGUAGUCCCCAGUUAGAGCACCCUCUAAACAAGCUCUUAAGGUCCAUUUGUAGGAGAACAUAGGGUAUUCAAACCCAUGACUCCAGACACAUCCAAGCAAAACACUGCAUGUGGACAGUCUGCCCU
rnacentral:snRNA from 1 species